GGCAGUGUUGCUCGGCCUGCGGGCCGUGCUGCAGGUACGUACUGCAACGAGGCGGGGGCAGUGUUGCUCGGCCUGCGGGCCGUGCUGCAGGUACGUACUGCAACGAGGCGGGGGCAGUGUUGCUCGGCCUGCGGGCCGUGCUGCAGGUACGUACUGCAACGAGGCGGGGGCAGUGUUGCUCGGCCUGCGGGCCGUGCUGCAGGUACGUACUGCAACGAGGCGGGGGCAGUGUUGCUCGGCCUGCGGGCCGUGCUGCAGGUACGUACUGCAACGAGGCGGGGG